GAUUGAACGCUGGCGGCAGGCCUAACACAUGCAAGUCGAGCGGUAGCACAGAGAGCUUGCUCUCGGGUGACGAGCGGCGGACGGGUGAGUAAUGUCUGGGAAACUGCCUGAUGGAGGGGGAUAACUACUGGAAACGGUAGCUAAUACCGCAUAACGUCGCAAGACCAAAGUGGGGGACCUUCGGGCCUCAUGCCAUCAGAUGUGCCCAGAUGGGAUUAGCUGGUAGGUGGGGUAACGGCUCACCUAGGCGACGAUCCCUAGCUGGUCUGAGAGGAUGACCAGCCACACUGGAACUGAGACACGGCCCAAACUCCUACGGGAGGCAGCAGUAGGGAAUCUUCCACAAUGGACGAAAGUCUGAUGGAGCAACGCCGCGUGAGUGAAGAAGGGUUUCGGCUCGUAAAACUCCGUUGUUAAAGAAGAACAUAUCUGAGAGUAACUGUUCAGGUAUUGACGGUAUUUAACCAGAAAGCCACGGCUAACUACGUGCCAGCAGCCGCGGUAAUACGUAGGUGGCAAGCGUUGUCCGGAUUUAUUGGGCGUAAAGCGAGCGCAGGCGGUUUUUUAAGUCUGAUGUGAAAGCCUUCGGCUCAACCGAAGAAGUGCAUCGGAAACUGGGAAACUUGAGUGCAGAAGAGGACAGUGGAACUCCAUGUGUAGCGGUGAAAUGCGUAGAUAUAUGGAAGAACACCAGUGGCGAAGGCGGCUGUCUGGUCUGUAACUGACGCUGAGGCUCGAAAGUAUGGGUAGCAAACAGGAUUAGAUACCCUGGUAGUCCAUACCGUAAACGAUGAACACUAGGUGUUAGGAGGUUUCCGCCUCUUAGUGCCGAAGCUAACGCAUUAAGUGUUCCGCCUGGGGAGUACGACCGCAAGGUUGAAACUCAAAGGAAUUGACGGGGACCCGCACAAGCGGUGGAGCAUGUGGUUUAAUUCGAAGCAACGCGAAGAACCUUACCAGGUCUUGACAUCCUUUGAAGCUUUUAGAGAUAGAAGUGUUCUCUUCGGAGACAAAGUGACAGGUGGUGCAUGGUCGUCGUCAGCUCGUGUCGUGAGAUGUUGGGUUAAGUCCCGCAACGAGCGCAACCCUUAUUGUUAGUUGCCAGCAUUCAGAUGGGCACUCUAGCGAGACUGCCGGUGACAAACCGGAGGAAGGCGGGGACGACGUCAGAUCAUCAUGCCCCUUAUGACCUGGGCUACACACGUGCUACAAUGGCGUAUACAACGAGUUGCCAGCCCGCGAGGGUGAGCUAAUCUCUUAAAGCCAUUCUCAGUUCGGAUUGUAGGCUGCAACUCGCCUACAUGAAGUCGGAAUCGCUAGUAAUCGCGGAUCAGCAUGCCGCGGUGAAUACGUUCCCGGGCCUUG
rnacentral:rRNA from 1 species